AGUAACGGCGAGUGAACGGAGAUUAGCCCAUCACCGAAGCCCAUUCGCGUUUGCGAACAGGGCCAUGUGGUGUUAGGGUGUGCGCCUGGGGCUGCUGGCCUAUUUGAAGUCCGACUUCGAUUACGGCUUGGAAUUGUCCCAUAGCGGGUGAAAGGCCCGUUCGGAUAGGUUCUGACUUGCAGCGGCCCUCAGAUGCGCAUACCUACGAGUCGGAUUGCUUGAGAAUGCAGUCCAAAGUGGGUGGUAAACUCCAUCCAAGGCUAAAUACUGGCUCGAGUCCGAUAGUAGACAAGUACCGUGAGGGAAAGUUGAAAAGUAUUCUGAAGAGA
rnacentral:rRNA from 1 species